AAUUAUCACGGAAUACCAAAUUUGAGCGCAGGGGAGUUUAGUGCGUCACCGUUUCCGGUUAAUGGUAUAAUUUUCGGUCAAAAUAAUCGGUUGAUGAUCUGCCUAAACUGUCAGUGUGCCGGAAAGCCGACUGCACCGAUUGUCAAGGUCUGGUUUCUCGUAGGCACUGGUUCCAAUUGCACUUUUCUCUGCGAAAAUACAGUAUCUGCGAUGUAUGGGCCCAAAUGUGUUGCUAUCAAUUAUUUUGUUGCAAUACAGGAUUCCAAGUCUAAAAUCUUAUGCAACAUUUCGCACAGUCACUUCACAGACGUGAACGUUUUGGGUGUGGCGGCCAUGCUUGAUCUGGAAGUGUCUAUCGAAAGUAUGAACCGCAAACAAAAAUAUUUCCGACUCGCCAGAAUUUCUACAAUCAAAUGAGGAUUGCUAUGGAGAAAAGUCUGCAUGUCUUUUUCUUAUUAUUCGAAAAAAUAAACGGCAAAUUUGUCUGUUUUUUUUCUUUUUCGAAUUGUAACACAUUCGAUCAAAACAUUAUUGCUUCAAAAAUGAGAAAUGAA